UGGCGGGACAUGGCGGUAGAUUUUGUGAGAACUGCAAGGAAAUGACAGCUUGCUUUGGCACAAGGCCCGGAACUAAAGAGCCCCUCGGCUUCUCAGCAAAUUUCCUUUGCUUAGUGAUAUUAAGAUAUAGGAUGGAAGGAAGACAAUUCGUAAAACAGAGAGAUUUCUCUAGUGCAUGCCAGAUGUCAACUUGGUAGAAAGCGAUUACUGGAGGAAGCAAGUAAUAAAGAUUGGGCCUAAGAGAGCAUCAAUUAGGAAAGGCAGGAGAAAUUUGCUGUUCGUCAGGGGAAGGAAAGCUACUACAGUAAUUACACCAAGAAAAAGCUCAUCCUACACUAUGGAGUAAAGUUUGCUUGAUGAAAAGGCAUUUUGAAGACUGGCGUCUCGUGUUCCUCAGGUUUGUUCGACCACCCAAAACUGGAUACCAAGGAACACGAUCACCUUAAAUAUAAGACCAGAGACAAGUAUCAAUCUUGGAACGAAGGCAAAAUUGGAUCGACCCCAAUUCAGAGAAUAAAGCGAAAAAUUGGGGUUUGAUCCAUCCGCCAUCCCCCACCACACCCGCCUCCAUUAGGCAGUACUUAAAAGUUAUCAACCUUUGGUUUCCUGUCCACCAUCUACCACCACACCCGCC